CCGGCCGAGUCCCGGAGCCCCGGCUGCACAAGGGACCCGGACUGCGCCCCCGCGCGGGCGGAGCGAAGCGGACCCGACCCGGGCGGAGGGGGCCGGGCUGGGCUGCGUGGGGUCCGUGAAACCGCGAGGUCCAGCGGGCAGCGCGGGGACUGUGGCUCCGAGCCCGGGUGGCACCGCGACAGUCGCGUCCCGGGGGCCUCGUCCUCGCCACCUCCCCGCUGCGGGCCGGGGCACUCGGGGCUUCCUGCCCUCAGAACUGUGCCCUGGGUGUGCACGUGGGGCCGAGGGUCCCCUGGCCUGGGCGAGGGUGCAGGGACCCGAAACUGGGUGACUCUUCCCGGUCCCGGUGUGGCUGUCCUGUAACCAUGACGACUGCGGGCUUUGGCACGUGGAUGUGGAUGCAGAGCCUGAAGGCAGGGAUUGGGCAGGUGGUGCAGGGUGAGGGGCCCCUGGGGACGGACCUGCUGGGAGCUGCAGCUGCCCCGAGCUGGGCUCCCUGUGCGUGGUGACAGGGCCUUUGCAGCUGGGGACCAGGUGAUGGACGGUCAGGGGCGGGAGGGGCCUUGUCCGUGGGCAGGGAGCACAGGAAGUCGAUGUGGGCGAGAUAGGAAGAGCUGAGAGGCCGCAGAGGCGUUAAAUGGCUCCGACUGACUGGGCGGCCACACUCGGAUGGAAUUUACCCAUUUAGGAAGUUUCCCACUUCAGGACAGGACGUUUGUCGAACACCUGUUGUGUCCCAUGUGCUUUGUACAGUAGCAGGAUUAAUAAUCCUUGCAAUGGCCCCCACAUGUUAUUACUCUCUUCUUGAUGCAAGAGGGAGCACCCAAGGUUUACAGUGUGUUGUCCCACUUUGGCUUUCUGUUCUAAACAGUUACAGCUCCGGAAACUCAUGUUGAUAGCUAGAUGGACUAAGCAGCCACCCUCAUUCUAAAGCUGAGGAUAGAGGGUCUGAGGUGUGGACUGCGGAGACCCUGGGUAGCAGAGUUCUGCCUGCAGGGGGUCUCUGUCGGCCACCUCAGAAAACAGCUCCCACCGAGGUGAAGACCUUUCCAGCUCCGGGGGUGUGGCUGUCCCCCGAAUGGAGCGUCUCUGUGCAGGGCACGCAAGGCCUCGGGGCAUGUGGAGUCCCCGGAACUGGAACGUGUGGGCAGCGUGGGUGACCUGUGCUUGCACAGGCCUCGUUGUGUCUGUCACCUGUUGGAUCACAGGCGCUCCGACCAGGUCUGCACACCAGGAAGCAAAGGAACAUGGCUCAUUCCCAGGGAAUCCAGGAGCGUGCAGAGACUCCUGAAGAGGCAGGCACGUUGGACUACCGGCUUGAGCUUGGCUCUCCGAGCUGAGCUGAACUGCUCCCACGUUUUCUCUUCCUCUCCAGAACUAGGAAAUACAUCAUUUGAGGCAGGAGUUAAAUUUACAGGGGCGUCUCGUGGUGUGGCCCUGAUAUCACAUGCCAUGCUCCCGUGGAC
rnacentral:lncRNA from 1 species